GAUGAACGCUGGCGGCGUGCCUAAUACAUGCAAGUCGAGCGAAUGGAUUAAGAGCUUGCUCUUAUGAAGUUAGCGGCGGACGGGUGAGUAACACGUGGGUAACCUGCCCAUAAGACUGGGAUAACUCCGGGAAACCGGGGCUAAUACCGGAUAACAUUUUGGACCGCAUGGUUCGAAAUUGAAAGGCGGCUUCGGCUGUCACUUAUGGAUGGACCAGCGUCGCAUUAGCUAGUUGGUGAGGUAACGGGUCACCAAGGCAACGAUGCGUAGCCUGCCUGGGAGGGAGAUCGGCCACACUGGGACUGGGACACGGCCCCGACUCCUUCGGGGGGCAGCAGUAGGGAAUCUUCCGCAAUUGACGAAAGGCUGACGGAGCAACGCCGCGUGAGUGAUGAAGGCUUUCGGGUCGUAAAACUCUGUUGUUAGGGAAGAACAAGCGCUAGUUGAAUAAGCUGGCACCUUGACGGUACCUAACCAGAAAGCCACGGCUAACUACGUGCCAGCCACCGCGGUAA
rnacentral:rRNA from 1 species